GACGAACGCUGGCGGCGUGCCUAACACAUGCAAGUCGAACGAAGUGGCGAACGGGUGAGUAACACGUGAGUAACCUGCCUUACACAAGGGGAUAGCCUUUGGAAACGAAGAAUAAUACCCUAUAGUGUAAGAUGGACUUGCGUCUGAUUAGCUAGUUGGUGAGAUAAAGGCCCACCAAGGCAACGAUCAGUAGCCGGCUUGAGAGAGUGUACGGCCACAGUGGGACUGAGACACGGCCCAAACUCUACGGGAGGCAGCAGUGGGGAAUUUUGCACAAUGGGGGAAACCCUGAUGCAGCGACGCCGCGUGGGGGAGAAGGCUUUCGGGUUGUAAACCUCUUCGCUAUCGAACACUAUAGGGUGGGUUGAGGGUAGGUGGAGAAGAAGCGCCGGCUAACUACGUGCCAGCAGCCGCGGUAAUAC
rnacentral:rRNA from 1 species